rnacentral:tRNA from 3 species
GGAGCAGCUUGGUAGCUCGUCGGGCUCAUAACCCGAAGGUCGUCGGUUCAAAUCCGGCC